GAAACGCAAAGUUUCGAUCGUCUCUUACAUUUGAGAAGUUAAGUUAAUUGUUUUUCUUGUAAGACCAGCCCCUCACCCCUCUCCUCUACCGCCGCCCUCCUGUGCCGCCCCCUUGCCUUGACCCUCAUGUGCUGCCAUCGCCCUCCACUAAUGCCCCUCCUCCUUCCACUGUCGUCGUCCUUCUUCAAAAAGCUGAGUCC
rnacentral:lncRNA from 1 species